GGUCCUUUUGGUCAGGUGCCCCACCUCCUCAUCUGAGCUUCUUAACCCUUUAUAGGUAAAAGAAGAAUUGACCCUUUAUAGGGUAAAAAGGGAUUUUAUGCUACCCUUAGCUGUACGCUUAUGACAGGGACAAACACACUCCAAACCACAGA